CCCCCCCCCCCUCAUUUCUUUGCAGGUAUGCCUAUGUAACAUCCUCUUGAAGAAACAAACAUUUCGCCUAAACUAAAAACAGUGUCGUCAAAGAGUCACUGAAUCAAAGCAAGUAGAAACAAAAAGAAAAACGAUGUUGCUUCUUCGAUCCUCGAUUCGACGAGCGAGAAAUCUAAAGGCCUUGAAGCCUUCGAUCUUUGCUUUAAGAAGCUCUUAUUGUUUCUCUACUGGUGCAGCUGAGCCUUCUUCAAGCCUACCUAGCCCUCCGAGAGUCCCCAAUCUUAUUGGAGGAAAAUUCGUUGAUUCGCAAUCAUCUUCAACCAUUGAUGUGAUAAAUCCUGCAACACAAGAAGCCGUGUCACCGGUUCCUUUGACUACGAACGAAGAGUUCAGAGCUGCAGUCUCUGCAGCAAAGCAGGCUUUUCCGGCGUGGCGUAACACGCCAAUUACGACUCGUCAGCGUGUCAUGCUCAAGCUCCAAGAGCUUAUUCGUAGAGACAUUGAUAAGCUUGCGAUGAAUAUAACUACUGAACAGGGGAAGACCUUGAAGGAUGCUCAUGGAGAUGUGUUCCGUGGGCUAGAGGUGGUGGAACAUGCUUGUGGAAUGGCGACUUUGCAGAUGGGUGAGUAUGUCCCUAAUGUGUCAAAUGGAAUUGAUACCUUUAGCAUCAGAGAGCCACUUGGUGUAUGUGCUGGGAUUUGCCCUUUCAACUUUCCAGCAAUGAUUCCCUUAUGGAUGUUCCCUGUUGCCGUAACAUGCGGUAACACCUUUAUAUUGAAGCCAUCGGAGAAAGAUCCUGGUGCUUCUAUAAUACUUCCUGAGUUAGCGAGAAGGAGAUAUAGAGGGGAGAUUGAAAGGUUAUCUCGGUGAUAAUGCCGUGGAUGAUGAACUUUAGAUACUGUUGAAUUCUACCAUCAGUUCGAAACAAAAAUCUCAACAUUCGUAAUAGGCUGCUUUGCAGGUGCUGCUCUACUUCUGCCGUGGGUCUCCUUUCUUUCUAAGGCGGCAGAGACAAGUGAAUUGCCAAGAAGGUUUCAAGUAAUUCAAACGGCAGCCUAUCUUGAAAGUCCUACAACUCUUAAACUAAUGCCAAUGAACACAGGCUCCCACUUGAGCCCACAGCAAGAACAAGUCUUUUAGGUCCAUGCAGUGGUUGGAAAUAAACAUUUCAUUACCGUGCAAAGUAACGCCACAGACACACUUAUACCCGCCCUUAUUAACCAAAGAAAUUGUGCAAUUUUCCUAACCCCCAAGCAUUGCAG